rnacentral:lncRNA from 1 species
GCGACACCGGUGACCCCCAGAGCGGUGCCUGAAGCCCCCAAGAUGGCCGCCGAGGCGAAGCCGGCGCCGCCGCCAGCACCAAAGAUGGCCGCCGACACCAAACCGGCUCCCAAGAUGGCUGCCGACGCCAAACCGGCCCCGGUGACACCGCCGCCAGCGCCCAAGAUGGCCGCCGACACCCAGCCAGCACCCAAGAUGGCCACCGAGGCCAAACUGGCACCGCCGCCAGCACCAAAGAUGGCCGCCGACACCAAACCGGCUCCCAAGAUGGCCGCCGACACCAAACCAACACCGCAACCGGCACCCAAGAUGGCCGCCGACACCCAACCGGCCCCGGUGACGCCGCCGCCAGCACCCAAGAUAGCCGCCGACACCCAGCCAGCACCCAAGAUGGCCGCCGAUGCCCAACCGGUGCCCAAGAUGGCUGCCGACGCCAAACCAACGCCGCCGCCAGCACCCAAGAUGGCCGCUGACACCAAACCGGCACCGGUGACACCGCCGCCAACAUCCAAGAUGGCCGCCGACACCCAACCGGCACCGCCGCCAGCACCCAAGAUGGCCGCCGACACCAAACCGGCGCCGCCGCCAGCACCCAAGAUGGCCGCCGAGGCCGCGCCCAGCGACGCCACCACCACCGCCGUGACCUCAGUGAUGACGUCACCCAUGGCAUCACCCGUGACGUCAGCGGUGCCCCCCAACCUCCUCAAAUCGGCCUCCCCCGCCCUCCCCCGCGCCGUGCCCGCCCCCCCCGCCCUGCCCAAGGCCAUGCCCGUGGUCACCGUCACCCCCCCGGCGCCCCCCAAGACCCCCCCCAGGCCCCCCGCGGACCCCCCCAGACCCUCCCCGGACCCCAAACCCNGCUGGGGGCGCCCCCCCCGCCCCCCCCGGGGCUGCCGCGGGCGCUGGCGGCCGCCAAGCUGCUGGGGCUGCCCUCGUCCCCCGUGGCCGCCUCCGCCCUGCGGCCCCCCCCCGCCCCCCGGCCCCUCCCCGCCUCCCCCGUCCCCGUCGCCGCCUCCCCCCUCUCCCUGGGGCCCAAGGGGGGCGGGGGCGGGGCCUGGAGGGGUGACGUCACGCGGGCGUCGCCCGUGGCAACCGCUGAUGUCACGCGGGUGUCUACCCCGGCAACCGGUAAUGUCACAAGGGCGUCGCCCAUGGCAACCGGUGACGUCACGCGGGUCACUACCCCGGUAACCAGUGACGUCACUCGGGCGUCGCCCGUGGCAACCAAUGACGUCACUCGGGUGACUACCCCAGUAACUGGUGACGUCACUCGGGCGUCUCCCAUAGCAACCAGUGACGUCAUUCGCCUGUCACCAAUGGCAACCAAUGACGUCACACGGGUCACUACCCCGGUAACCAGUGACGUCACUCGGGCGUCACCAGUGGCAACCGGUGACGUCACUCGGGUCACUACCCCGGCAACCAGUGACGUCACUCGCCUGUCACCCAUGGCAACCAGUGACGUCACUCGGGUAUCUACCCCAGUAACCAGUGACGUCACUCGCACGUCUCCCAUGGCAACCGGUGACGUCACUCGGGUAUCCCCCAUGGCAACCGGUGAUGUCACUCGCACAUCUCCCAUGGCAACCGGUGACGUCACUUGUGUCUCUACCCCGGUAACCGCUGACAUCACACCCGUGUCACCUGCCGUCACUGCUGAUGUCACCCGCGCGUCACCCAUGGCAACCGGUGACGUCACCACCGCGUCACCCGCCCCCGCCGUGGCCAACGCCGCUGUCCCCAGAGCACCCCCCACGGCCGCUGCUGACGUCACCAAGAUGGCCGCUGCUGACGUCACCCGGGCGUCCCCUGGCCCUGUGGCCGCUUCCGCCAUCACCAGAGCCCCGCCCACGGCCCCUGCUGCAGUCAGUGACGUCAUCAAACCCACCGCUGACGUCA